rnacentral:lncRNA from 1 species
CCUCCCUCCAGGUACCUCUCCAAACCCUAAACACCCCUUAGGUUCACAGUUUAUCACUAUACUACUAUUGUUUAAUUAGAUGGUAACAUAAAACUUGGAGUGUCUGAUCGGAAUUCUUACUCACUGCUAGAGAUGCUAAUUGGGUUCUCUCUGCCUCUCACAAGUUUAUCCUUGUGUUAUAUCUUAUUCAGGGUAAAAAAAUGCCCAGAAUAAAGAAAUGAUGAAUUAUACUGUACUCAUUAUUGUAGUUAAAGAUUACAUUUAAAAUUGAUCAUCGAUCACGUGGGAUGCUGCCAACUUGCAGGGUCGAUGACACAUUAAAUUGCCAUAUUGCUUUUCCCUCUUCUUCGCAUGUUAGGAAUAUAUCUUUAUCAAUAGAAUUUAAUAUUUGUGUUUUCGCAUGCAGGAAGAGACAUGAUCAUAUCGAUCACCAGUCAUGGAGUCAAGUGGUUGUUGUCGUCAAGCUAAAUGUUGGUGAGUGCCAAAUGAGAAGAUAUAUGUUCUAAUAUUCCUGAGCUGGACAUUAUGGUAAAAUAUUAAUUUUAGAAAUUUUGCCAAUCAUACCGGUCUGUAGCUAUAUCACAUUGCAAAAUUCCAUGAACAUGUGGUCCACAUUAUUUUUCACAUUGCAAAAUUCCAUGAACAUGUGGUCCACAUUAUUUUUCUAUUAUAUUUUUCCUGCCCAAGCGUGGAUGCAGGUGGAUGUGGGCGCCGCGGCUGCCACCAAGGAUGUAGGGGUCAUGCUACAACCGGUGAGGACACAAUAGGCACUUUUUUUUGGGAUGGAGGGAGUAUUACAUUCCUUGUAAUCGCAUGCUAUAUUUUCAGUGGGAAUUCAUUGACACAGUUCCUUACAAAAGUUGUAUCUUUGACAUAGGCAAACUGCUCAAGUGAUUAUAUCAUCCAUUCUGAUUUUGAGGGAAAUAUAUCCAAAUGAACAGUAUGAUGAACCUAAUGGCUCUCUAUCCUCAUUUCUCUAACAUGCAAG